CAUCAUCCCCCCAUCCCAACUUGUGGGUCGCUUCAUGGGGGGGGUUAUGGGGUUAUGGGGGGUUAUGGGUCCCCCUUCGUCCCCCCAUCCCAACUUGUGGGUCGUGUAAUGGGGGAGGGUUACGGGGGGGUUAUGGGUCCCCCUUCAUCCCCCCACCCCAACUCCUGGGUCGCUUAAGGGGGGGGUUAUGGGGUUAUGGGGGGGUUAUGGGGGGGUUAUGGGUCCCCCUUCAUCCCCCCAUCCCAACUCGUGGGUCGCUUAAUGGGGGGGGUUAUGGGGGGGUUAUGGGUCCCCCUUCGUCCCCCCAUCCCAACUUGUGGGUCACUUAAGGGGGGGUUAUGGGGGGGUUAUGGGGUGUGUGGGGGGGUUAUGGGGUUAUGGGGGGGUUAUGGGUCCCCCUUCGUCCCCCCACCCCAACUCGUGGGUCACUUAAGGGGGGGGGGGGGGGGGGUUAUGGGUCGCUUCACGGGGGGGGGGUUAUGGGUCCCCCUUCAUCCCCCCAUCCCAACUCGUGGGUCACUUAAGGGGGGGUUAUGGGGUGUGUGGGGGGGUUAUGGGUCCCCCUUCAUCCACCCACCCCAACUCGUGGGUCGCUUCAUGGGGGGGUUAUGGGGUUAUGGGGGGGUUGUGGGGGGGUUAUGGGUCCCCCUUCGUCCCCCCACCCCAACUCGUGGAUCUCUUAAUGGGGGGGUUAUGGGGUUAUGGGGGGGUUGUGGGGGGGUUAUGGGUCCCCCUUCAUCCUCCCCCCCAACUCGUGGGUCACUUAAGGGGGGGUUAUGGGGGGGUUAAGGGGGGGUUAUGGGUCCCCCUUCGUCCCCCCACCCCAACUUGUGGGUCGCCUAAGGGGGGGUUAUGGGGGGGUUAUGGGUCCACCUUCGUCCCCCCUCCCCCAACUCGUGGGUCGCUUAAGGGGGGGUUAUGGGGGGGUUAUGGGGUUAUGGGGGGGUUAUGGGUCCCCCUUCGUCCCCCCACCCCAACUCGUGGGUCGCUUCAUGGAAGGGUUAUGGGGGGGUUAUGGGUCCCUCUUCAUCCCCCCAUCCUGACUCGUGGGUCGCUUAAGGGGGGGGGGUUAUGGGUUUAUGGGGGGGUUAUGGGGGGGUUAUGGGGGGGUUAUGGGUCCCCCUUCGUCCCCCCACCCCAACUCGUGGGUCGCUUAAGGGGGGGGUUAUGGGGUUAUGGGGGGGUUGUGGGGGGGUUAUGGGUCCCCCUUCAUCCUCCCCCCCAACUCGUGGGUCACUUAAGGGGGGGGGUUAUGGGGUUAUGGGGGGGAUAUGUGGGGGUUAUGGGUCCCCCUUCGUACCCCCACCCCGACUCGUGGGUCGCUUCACAGGGGGGGGGUUAUGGAGGGGUUAUGGGGGGGUUAUGGGGGGGUUAUGGGUCCCCCUUCGUCCCCCCACCCCAACUCGUGGGUCACUUAAGGGGGGGUUAUGGGGGGUUAUGGGGUGGUUAUGGGGGGGUUAUGGGGGGGUUAAGGGGGGGUUCUGGGGCGGUUCGGGUCGCGGGGCUCAGCUGAUGUAGACGCGGUGGAAGUCGUGGGCCCCGAAGGCGGCGUUGCAUUUGGGGCACUUCCUCUGGCGGGUGUCGUAGCGGCUCUUGACGCACUCGAAGCAGAAGACGUGGAAGCAUUUGGUCAGCACCGCGUCCUUCUUGCGCGCGUUGCAGCACGGGCACGUCAGGCGGGCCUAUGGGGGGGGGGGGGGGGG
rnacentral:lncRNA from 1 species